rnacentral:rRNA from 1 species
CCUACGGGUGGCAGCAGUGAGGAAUAUUGGUCAAUGGCCGAGAGGCUGAACCAGCCAAGUCGCGUGAGGGAAGACGGCCCUACGGGUUGUAAACCUCUUUUGUCGGGGAGCAAAGCGAACCACGUGUGGUUCAUUGAGAGUACCCGAAGAAAAAGCAUCGGCUAACUCCGUGCCAGCAGCCGCGGUAAUACGGAGGAUGCGAGCGUUAUCCGGAUUUAUUGGGUUUAAAGGGUGCGCAGGCGGAGGUGCAAGUCAGCGGUCAAAUUGCGGGGCUCAACCCCGUACUGCCGUUGAAACUGCAUCCCUUGAGUGCGCGAGAAGUAUGCGGAAUGCGUGGUGUAGCGGUGAAAUGCAUAGAUAUCACGCAGAACUCCGAUUGCGAAGGCAGCAUACCGGCGCGCAACUGACGCUCAUGCACGAAAGCGUGGGUAU